CAAAGCACUUUGAAGAGAGAGUUAAAGAGGACGUGAAACCGAUGAGGUGGAAACGGACAGAGCUGGCGUAUCUGGCCUGUAUUCAGCCGUGCGUCCGUUGGCGUCAGGGAUGCCGCUCUCCAGAUUGGGACGGUGGCCUGUCUGCUGGCGGAUGUGUGGUGCAUUUGCAGGUGGAGUGCGCUGAGGCGCUCGGGUCAGCGGCAUGAGCUCAGUGUUGAGGCCAGCCCCUCACGGGGUCUGGUACCCGCAUUGUGGGGAGUGCUGUUUGUCCUGGGUGUGUGGAGGGCAAUGGUUUCGGGUUCGUGUGGGUGCCGAGCUGGCAGUCGGUGGCGGUCGCGUGCGACACGUGCCAGCGGUCAGUUCGGUCCUGCUCGAGCUCUCAUCUGCUCGUCCUCGGUGUAAAAGCCGGUCAUCUGUCCGACCCGUCUUGAAACACGGACCAAGGAGUUUAGCGUGUGCGCGAGUCAUUGGGCGUUGAAAACCCAAAGGCGCAAUGAAAGUGAAGGUCUCCCUUGCGGAGCUGAUGUGUGAUCCUGGGCACUGCGGUGCACACCGGGCGCAACAUAGUCCCGUCCCG
rnacentral:rRNA from 1 species